GCUUCCUCAGGGAUUCGCAGGCACUCUAACAGGAAGAGGACAAAGAGAAUUAUUAUGUUAUGUCACAUUUAUACAUUUUACCUAGGUGUCCUGCAUUCCUGAUGCAAAAAUGGCUUGCGAAUACUUUCCAAGUGAAAACAAAAAAAGGUAUCUACGGUGGAAGUUCUUCAGCAAUUUCAACAGCCAAGCCUUGGAAAUCAAGGACAGUAUGUUUAUCAGAAAAUAAAGAUGCCGGUCGGAAGGCGCCGGGUAGGGGAGCCCACCUGCUCUCUCUGAACACUCAUGGAUUAGAAUGCCAUUGAGGAAACUCAGGACCCCUGAAGAAUAAAGACAAGAGUUGACAGUCUCUUUUGAGGAUGGCCCUGCUGAUCUUACAAGCACCAUGAGCUCCCAUCGCACUGGCCAAAGAGAAGAACACAGUUCCACAAAGAAACUAAAAGGGAGUGUCUUCCAUAACCCAAGGAUAGGAGGGAGAAGGGCGAAUGCACCCACAUUUGGCAAAACCAGACUUCAAUAGAAGAAACCCAACUCACCUGAGAGUCAGACAAAUAAAAGAGAAAAAAAUAUGCAGCUUGGUCACAGUAGACUGAACCAAUGAUUAAAUGUGUUCUAACUCAGAAAUUCUCCUUGAUUAACAUGCAAGGUCUUUUGGAUUUUGUCUUGCUUUACAUUUGUGACUGUCACAGGAAAACAGCAUCUUGAAGAUGGCACUUGCAAAGUGGCAGGACACGCAGAGAUGCUGAGCAGCAGGGUCCCAAUUCCUGACAGGACUUGGAGCCCAUCAGAGGCACAGUGUGCCUACAAAGAG
rnacentral:lncRNA from 1 species